UACGAAGGGGGCUAGCGUUGCUCGGAAUCACUGGGCGUAAAGGGUGCGUAGGCGGGUCUUUAAGUCAGGGGUGAAAUCCUGGAGCUCAACUCCAGAACUGCCUUUGAUACUGAAGAUCUUGAGUUCGGGAGAGGUGAGUGGAACUGCGAGUGCAGAGGUGAAAUUCGUAGAUAUUCGCAAGAACACCAGUGGCGAAGGCGGCUCACUGGCCCGAUACUGACGCUGAGGCACGAAAGCGUGGGGAGCAAACGGG
rnacentral:rRNA from 1 species